GUUGUGGCUCAGUGGUAAAGCGCUUGCCUUGCAUGCGUGAGGCCCUGGGUUUGAUCCUCAGUACAACA
rnacentral:tRNA from 1 species